UGGGGAAUCUUGCGCAAUGGCCGCAAGGCUGACGCAGCGACGCCGCGUGGGGGAGGAAGGGCUUCGGCUCGUAAACCCCUGUUGCCCGGGGCGAACAGCAGGUUUCGACCUGCCUGACGGUACCGGGUGAGGAAGCACCGGCUAACUCCGUGCCAGCAGCCGCGGUAAUACGGAGGGUGCGAGCGUUGUCCGGAAUCACUGGGCGUAAAGGGCGCGUAGGUGGCCGAGCAAGGUCGCGGUGAAAGCCCGGGGCUCAACCCCGGGUCGGCCGUGGCAACUACUCGGCUUGAGCACUGUAGGGGCGGGUGGAAUUCCGGGUGUAGCGGUGGAAUGCGUAGAGAUCCGGAAGAACACCGGUGGCGAAGGCGCCCGCUGGGCAGGAAGGCUCGCAAGAGCCGGCUGACACUGAGGCGCGACA
rnacentral:rRNA from 1 species